GGAGAGGUAUCGAAGUGGUUAUAACGGCCCUGACUCGAAAUCAGGUAGCGCGCAAGCGCUCGUGGGUUCGAAUCCCACCCUCUCCGCCA
rnacentral:tRNA from 1 species